rnacentral:rRNA from 1 species
AACGAACGCUGGCGGCAUGCCUAACACAUGCAAGUCGAACGAGACCUUCGGUCUAGUGGCGCACGGGUGCGUAACGCGUAACUAAACCUGCCCAAGACUGGGGAGUAGCCCGCCGAAAGGCGGAUUAAUACCGCAUAAUAUCUUUACUGGCAUCAGUAGUAGAUUAAACCUGAGGGGGUCUUGGAUGGGGUUGCGGGUCAUUAGCUAGUUGGUAAGGUAACGGCUUACCAAGGCGACGAUGACUAGGGGAGGCUGAGGGGCGUGGUCCCCCACACGGGCACUGAGAUACGGGCCCG